rnacentral:lncRNA from 1 species
AUGAUCUUUGUAGUCAUGCAUUCUGGAGAACCAAAUUGACUCCGGUUCCAUUGCCAUCUCAGCCUGCUUUUGACAGCAUGAUAAGUUUACAUACUAAUCCAUGCCUAUUGGAACAUAAUGGUAGCAGACCAAACAAGACCCCUCCUAAGUAUCGUGAGAAAGAUGCAAAAAGAGUUCAUAAGCAGGAAGAGAACUCUAAUUUAGGAUUAAAAGUUCAUGAGACACCAGUCAAGGGUACACCAGCUGGCCAUAAAACACAAACAAAGAAUUCUGGCAGGAUUGAGGAGAAGCAGAGAGAUCCUUCAACUGCUACUAAACGUGUAAAUCUUUUAAGGUUGUCAAGAAUAGCAAAAACAAACUUACAAAGGGAAAAUGAGAAGGAAAACUACCGGAGGCCUUUACCCAAUAACUCCGAGAAUGCUGCUGAAGUUCAAAUUGAAAACACUGAUAUGGAGCUUGAUUUUAACGAAGACAUUGAAGAUGAGACACCCGAUGAAUCAGAUGGGCUUGAUAACAUCCCUGAAGAAAAAUUAUCUAGUCAGGUAAAAGCGGAAGUGACAGAUAAUAACAUGCGAGUAGAUAACACACCUGCAAGUAAUAUGCCUGCCAUAGAUGAGUCAAGAACACAUGAUGAGGAAUCAUCUUCUGAACAUGUUGAAGUGCCUGCUACCCCACCAAGUGUUAGUCCUCAACUCAAAGUUCAUAGAGUUAAAGAAGGCGCAGGGUCUGCUUUU